rnacentral:rRNA from 1 species
UUGGGCUUUCGCUCUACACCCUUUGUGACAUACCUAUAACUGUUGCUUCGGCGGGCAGGGUCUCCGUGACCCUCCCGGCCUCCCGCCCCCGGGCGGGUCGGCGCCCGCCGGAGGAUAACCAAACUCUGAUUUAACGACGUUUCUUCUGAGUGGUACAAGCAAAUAAUCAAAACUUUUAACAACGGAUCUCUUGGUUCUGGCAUCGAUGAAGAACGCAGCGAAAUGCGAUAAGUAAUGUGAAUUGCAGAAUUCAGUGAAUCAUCGAAUCUUUGAACGCACAUUGCGCCCGCCAGCAUUCUGGCGGGCAUGCCUGUUCGAGCGUCAUUUCAACCCUCAAGCUCUGCUUGGUGUUGGGGCCCUACAGCUGAUGUAGGCCCUCAAAGGUAGUGGCGGACCCUCCCGGAGCCUCCUUUGCGUAGUAACUUUACGUCUCGCACUGGGAUCCGGAGGGACUCUUGCCGUAAAACCCCCAAUUUUCCAAAGGUUGACCUCGGAUCAGGUAGGAAUACCCGCUGAACUUAAGCAUAUCAAAAGCCGGAGGAA